rnacentral:sRNA from 1 species
AGGAGAAGGAUGCGAGGGUUUUGAAGAGGAGAGGGAUCGAUGGGGCAGGGAAGCGAGGACAGGGGCAGUAAUGGCAAUUUAUGGUGACAUGCCCCAUUUGGCACAGCGGGUGCCCUAAUGCCCAAUAACUGCGCUACUCUACGUCCAGCCCCCGGCCUGUCUUUACGUUGCUCGAGCCAGUGAAGGGCUUUGCAGUUCUGCUGCUGCUUGCUAGCUGCGCGCAUCUCUCACUUUCCUCGCUCAGAGAGAGGCCACAGCUGACUCACUCCACUGCUUUGAAUUCCCACAAAAUGCCUCGUGAAGUGCACCCCUUCUCUCCCUAGCUCUCUCUCGUCUCUUCAGGGCCUGGAAUGUCUUGGACAAGCUUG